rnacentral:rRNA from 1 species
CAAGUCGAACGAGAAAGUGGAGCAAUCCAUGAGUAAAGUGGCGCACGGGUGAGUAACACGUGACUAACCUACCCUUGAGUGGGGAAUAACUUCGGGAAACCGAGGCUAAUACCGCAUAACACCUACGGGUCAAAGGAGCAAUUCGCUUAAGGAGGGGGUCGCGGCAGAUUAGUUAGUUGGCGGGGUAAUGGCCCACCAAGACGGUGAUCUGUAUCCGGCCUGAGAGGGCGCACGGACACACUGGAACUGAAACACGGUCCAGACUCCUACGGGAGGCAGCAGUGGGGAAUUUUGCGCAAUGGGGGAAACCCUGACGCAGCAACGCCGCGUGGAGGAUGAAGUCCCUUGGGACGUAAACUCCUUUCGAUCGGGACGAUUAUGACGGUACCGGAAGAAGAAGCCCCGGCUAACUUCGUGCCAGCAGCCGCGGUAAUACGAGGGGGGCGAGCGUUGUUCGGAAUUAUUGGGCGUAAAGGGCGCGUAGGCGGUCGGAUAAGUCUUGUGUGAAAUCUCCGGGCUCAACUCGGAGUCUGCACGAGAAACUAUCUGGCUUGAGUGUGGGAGAGGUGAGUGGAAUUCCUGGUGUAGCGGUGAAAUGCGUAGAUAUCAGGAGGAACACCUGUGGCGAAAGCGGCUCACUGGACCACAACUGACGCUGAGGCGCGAAAGCUAGGGGAGCAAACAGGAUUAGAUACCCUGGUAGUCCUAGCCCUAAACGAUGAUCGCUUGGUGUGACGGGUACCCAAUCCCGCCGUGCCGAAGCUAACGCGUUAAGCGAUCCGCCUGGGGAGUACGGUCGCAAGGCUGAAACUCAAAGGAAUUGACGGGGGCCCGCACAAGCGGUGGAGCAUGUGGUUUAAUUCGACGCAACGCGAAAAACCUUACCUGGGCUCGAAUGUAGUGGAAUCCGGUGGAAACAUC